rnacentral:rRNA from 1 species
UACGUAGGGUCCGAGCGUUGUCCGGAGUUACUGGGCGUAAAGGGCGCGUAGGCGGCCACCGCAAGUCGACUGUGAAAUCUCCGGGCUUAACCCGGAAAGGUCAGCCGAUACUGCGGGGCUAGAGUGCAGAAGGGGCAACUGGAAUUCUCGGUGUAGCGGUGAAAUGCGUAGAUAUCGAGAGGAACACCUGCGGCGAAGGCGGGUUGCUGGGCUGACACUGACGCUGAGGCGCGAAAGCUAGGGGAGCGAACGGG